CCUACGGGAGGCUGCAGUGGGGAAUAUUGCACAAUGGGCGCAAGCCUGAUGCAGCCAUGCCGCGUGUGUGAAGAAGGCCUUCGGGUUGUAAAGCACUUUCAGCGGGGAGGAAGGCGGUGAGGUUAAUAACCUCAUCGAUUGACGUUACCCGCAGAAGAAGCACCGGCUAACUCCGUGCCAGCAGCCGCGGUAAUACGGAGGGUGCAAGCGUUAAUCGGAAUUACUGGGCGUAAAGCGCACGCAGGCGGUCUGUCAAGUCGGAUGUGAAAUCCCCGGGCUCAACCUGGGAACUGCAUUCGAAACUGGCAGGCUAGAGUCUUGUAGAGGGGGGUAGAAUUCCAGGUGGCGCGGUGAAAUGCGUAGAGAUCUGGAGGAAUACCGGUGGCGAAGGCGGCCCCCUGGACAAAGACUGACGCUCAGGUGCGAAAGCGUGGGGAGCAAACAGGAUUAGAUACCCGAGUAGUC
rnacentral:rRNA from 1 species